rnacentral:tRNA from 1 species
GAGGGUAUAGUUAAGUGGUAGAGCGCAUGCUUUGCAUGCAUGAGGUCCUAGGUUCAAUCCCCAGUACCUUCA